GGGUGAACCUGGGAAAAGCUGGGAUAUUCAUUUUAUAUGGGACAACCUAGGAUUCCCACAAAUUAUAUGAGCUGGAAAAAGCUGGGAUAUCUAAGGACAUCCUGGGAUUAUUGGAAAUUUGUGGCAAGAGCUGGGACAGAUAAGAAUAGCACAAGUCCCAGAAAUACUUAGUUGUUUUUUCAAUUUGCAGAACUCUGGGAUUAAGCAAGGAC
rnacentral:lncRNA from 1 species